rfam:Bacteroidetes bacterium GWF2_42_66 gwf2_scaffold_46, whole genome shotgun sequence.
GGGAUUGGCCUUCCGCAGACGACUUUCAGGAGUAGUUUGCAAACUACCUUAUGCUGCGUUGGGCGGAAACUCCCUCGGUGGUGAACGAUAAGGAAAAACGAGGACUUGAUCCUCGAAGGU